UGGGGAAUUUUGGACAAUGGGCGAAAGCCUGAUCCAGCAAUGCCGCGUGUGUGAAGAAGGCCUUCGGGUUGUAAAGCACUUUUGUCCGGAAAGAAAUCCUUGGCUCUAAUACAGUCGGGGGAUGACGGUACCGGAAGAAUAAGCACCGGCUAACUACGUGCCAGCAGCCGCGGUAAUACGUAGGGUGCAAGCGUUAAUCGGAAUUACUGGACGUAAAGCGUGCGCAGGCGGUUUGCUAAGACCGAUGUGAAAUCCCCGGGCUCAACCUGGGAACUGCAUUGGUGACUGGCAGGCUAGAGUAUGGCAGAGGGGGGUAGAAUUCCACGUGUAGCAGUGAAAUGCGUAGAGAUGUGGAGGAAUACCGAUGGCGAAGGCAGCCCCCUGGGCCAAUACUGACGCUCAUGCACGAAAAGCGUGGGGAGCAAAACAGGAUUAGAUACCCUGGUAGUCCACGCCCUAAAACGAUGUCAACUAGUUGUUGGGGAUUCAUUUCCUUAGUAACGUAGCUAACGCGUGAAGUUGACCGCCUGGGGAGUACGGUCGCAAGAUUAAAACUCAAAGGAAUUGACGGGGUCAUAGCUGUUUCCU
rnacentral:rRNA from 1 species